ensembl:lncRNA
GGAAUUUAUUGUUGCUUACUUCACCACUCUGUAAAUAAACACUGUUGCACUGAAGAGUCCGCCGUUUGGGUCCUGUUUCCGUCUGCCAGCCAGACCGUGACAGUCGCUCAUAAUAAGACAGGAGCUCAGCUUUCAGUGUCACAGCUGGAACAACAUCAGCUGACAUGAAAGAAAAACAGACGUUUGUUCCCUGUUAGCAAAGAUGGAGAUGGAGAGCGUGAGGGAACUACAGAGAGGAGGAGGAGGAGGACACGGCUGUGAGGGACGCAGUGGACCAGCCCUCAGACCUACAUCAGCAGGAGCGAGGACGACCCCCCCAGUCUGAGGACGUUCCCACCACAUGAACGGGGGACAGGAGGCGCAGCUUCUGGGCUGUUUAAGCUGAGGCUCAGAGGCUUCUUCGCUGGGUGGUGGACUUACUCUCGUCAGUACAGCCCCGAUAAACCCCGUUUGUCGUGUGAUUAUUCUGUUUAUGCUCACCGCAGUUCUCUUGUGCUCAGGUUCUCGGACUCGUCCGUGACCCCGAUCUGUUUCCCUGGUGGCGUGGAGUGGAGUGAGAGGACAGAGUUCAUGUUCAUGGACAUCAGGAUAAAAACAGAAGAUGGAAACCUGCCAGAUUUGAGCUGCUCAUGUGUCGUCCCUGGGCAGGUCACAUGACUCUAUCCAACACACAAAGACACACAGACACACAAGAAAAGCCAGAGAAACAAAGACAAAUCCAACAAUCCAUCAUACUGAGUUAAAGUGAUCACAGGUCUGCUUUGUUGGAGCCUUCAAAGUGUCACAUGUGGACUUAUUACUACCACUGAAGGCCACGCCCCUCUGGUCAUGUGAUCAUGUGGUUUGUAGGAACGCUCCUCUUCCUCAGAGGAUCCACCUGUGCUUCCUCUCCUCCACCUGUUACAGUGAGGGAACGUCCUGAAACCUGCAUCGUGACCUUUGAACUUCUAACCCCUGAGAUUCAAUCAUACAGUUUGAGCAGGAGCUGAAUAACGCGACUGAAAACAUUCACACAGCUUAAGUGUGAGAAUUUUAAAGCAAAUCUAAACCUAACCAGGAGCCAAUGUAAGAAAAUAAAACAGGGCUAAUGUGAGCUCGCUCCCCAGAGGCUGUCAGGAGUCUGUUUCAUGGAGGCGUCACACACAUGAUUUGUGGUUUUCCUCAGUCAGAAGCAGAGACUGAGUUGCAUAAAUGCAGUUUAUUCAUAUUCAGCAUGCUGUGGUUUAUGUAACAGGAAAAUAUGACAGUAUAAAUAAAGACAAAGUGUUCAUGUCACUGCCCCAGAAACCCUCUACAGUCUGUUACGGAGGUGCAUCAGUCUAUGUAAUCUUUACAAGAACAGCAGUUCUUAAACCUGCCACAAGGUGGAGC